rnacentral:rRNA from 1 species
UACGUAUGGGGCGAGCGUUAUCCGGAUUCAUUGGGCGUAAAGCGCGCGUAGGCGGCCUCGUAGGCCGGGAGUCAAAUCCGGGGGCUCAACCCCCGCCCGCUCCCGGAACCCCGAGGCUUGAGUCUGGCAGGGGAGGGUGGAAUUCCCAGUGUAGCGGUGGAAUGCGCAGAUAUUGGGAAGAACACCGGUGGCGAAGGCGGCCCUCUGGGCCACGACUGACGCUGAGGCGCGAAAGCUGGGGGAGCGAACAGGAUUAGAUACCCUGGUAGUCCCAGCCGUAAACGAUGGGCGCUAGGUGUGGGGGGACGAUCCCUCCGGGCCGCAGCCAACGCAUUAAGCGUCCCGCCUGGGGAGUACGGCCGCAAGGCUAAA